AGUGAACGCUGGCGGUAGGCCUAACACAUGCAAGUCGAACGGCAGCACAGUAAGAGCUUGCUCUUACGGGUGGCGAGUGGCGGACGGGUGAGGAAUACAUCGGAAUCUACUUUUUCGUGGGGGAUAACGUAGGGAAACUUACGCUAAUACCGCAUACGACCUACGGGUGAAAGCAGGGGAUCUUCGGACCUUGCGCGAUUGAAUGAGCCGAUGUCGGAUUAGCUAGUUGGCGGGGUAAAGGCCCACCAAGGCGACGAUCCGUAGCUGGUCUGAGAGGAUGAUCAGCCACACUGGAACUGAGGCACGGUCCAGACUCCUACGGGAGGCAGCAGUGGGGAAUAUUGGACAAUGGGCGCAAGCCUGAUCCAGCCAUACCGCGUGGGUGAAGAAGGCCUUCGGGUUGUAAAGCCCUUUUGUUGGGAAAGAAAAGCAGCAGGUUAAUACCCCGCUGUUCUGACGGUACCCAAAGAAUAAGCACCGACUAACUUCGUG
rnacentral:rRNA from 1 species